rnacentral:rRNA from 1 species
GGACUACAGGGGUAUCUAAUCCUGUUUGCUACCCACGCUUUCGUGUCUCAGCGUCAGUCGUGGUCCAGUAAGCUGUCUACACCGCAGGUGUUCCUCCUGAUAUCUACGCAUUUCACCGCUACACCAGGAAUUCCGCUUACCUCUCCCACACUCGAGCACUCCAGUUUCCGGCGCACCCUCCCAGUUGAGCCGGGAGAUUUCACACCAGACUUAGAGCACCGCCUACACACUCUUUACGCCCAGUAAUUCCGAACAACGCUCGCUGCCUACGUAUUACCGCGGCUGCUGGCAC